rnacentral:rRNA from 1 species
AACGAACGCUGGCGGCAGGCUUAACACAUGCAAGUCGAACGCCCCGCAAGGGGAGUGGCAGACGGGUGAGUAACGCGUGGGAAUCUACCCAUCCCUACGGAAUAACGCAUGGAAACGUGUGCUAAUACCGUAUACGCCCUACGGGGGAAAGAUUUAUCGGGGAUGGAUGAGCCCGCGUUGGAUUAGCUAGUUGGUGGGGUAAAGGCCUACCAAGGCGACGAUCCAUAGCUGGUCUGAGAGGGUGAUCAGCCACAUUGGGACUGAGACACGGCCCAAACUCCUACGGGAGGCAGCAGUGGGGAAUAUUGGACAAUGGGCGCAAGCCUGAUCCAGCCAUGCCGCGUGAGUGAUGAAGGCCUUAGGGUUGUAAAGCUCUUUCACCGGAGAAGAUAAUGACGGUAUCCGGAGAAGAAGCCCCGGCUAACUUCGUG